rnacentral:misc_RNA from 1 species
GAUGAAGAACGUAGCGAAAUGCGAUAAGUAAUGUGAAUUGCAGAAUUCAGUGAAUCAUCGAAUCUUUGAACGCAUCUUGCGCUCCUUGGUAUUCUGAGGAGCAUGCCUGUUUGAGUGUCAUUAAAUUCUCAACUACACUGACUUUGAAUUGGUGUGGCUUGGAUUUGGGGGGAAAAUUGUUGUGGGCUUUUUGUAUAGUCUGCUCCCCUGAAAUUGAUUAGCGGUACCUUUGUGGAACUGCCUACAGGUGUGAUAAUUAUCUACAUCUUAGACAUCUGCUGGAAUGCUGCUUUCUAAACCUUACUUGUAUUGACAAUCUUGACCUCAAAUCAGGUAGGACUACCCGCUGAACUUAAGCAUAUCAAUAAGCGGAGGA